UACGAAGGGGGCUAGCGUUGUUCGGAAUCACUGGGCGUAAAGGGUGCGCAGGCGGGUUCAUAAGUCAGGGGUGAAAUCCCGAGGCUCAACCUCGGAACUGCCUUUGAUACUGUGGAUCUUGAGUCCGGAAGAGGUGAGUGGAACUGCGAGUGUAGAGGUGAAAUUCGUAGAUAUUCGCAAGAACACCAGUGGCGAAGGCGGCUCACUGGUCCGGAACUGACGCUGAGGCACGACAGCGUGGGGAGCAAACAGG
rnacentral:rRNA from 1 species